ensembl:lncRNA
CAGCAAAGCUUUUAUUUUCUCUGCAUAAUCUUGAAUUCUGAUGAUGGAGCAUGAAAACAGUAAUCUAAUUACAUUUCUUGGAAGUUUGGCAGCUACACAAAACGUUUUUUUUUACUUACAAAAUAUAUUUGAUCAAAAAAUCAUUGGUGCCCAAUAAACAAGAAACUGCAGUAUCAUUUUAUAGUCACUUUUCAGAGCAUAACAGUUAAUCUAACUAUAGUUACGCUGGUACUGUAUAAUAUAAAAUGUGUUUUAUUCACUUUCCAGCAAGAUAGGGGUAGGGUUAUCUUCAACUUUGUAUUUUUAUGACUUUUAAGGCAUUUGUGCUGUAAACUGCAUGCAAUUCACUAUAAAAGCUUUUAUUUCCUUUCAGUUCUCAUGGUCACUACUUCAAGAAUGGUUACUGCAGCAGCAUCUAUCCUCACACAGGAUUCCAUUAUCAAAGUACUCCACAAACACAUCUCUUGAAUAUACACACUCUGGAAAGUGGUAAAUGGGCAUUUGUCAAUACAUCUGAUUGCAGCCACCGCCUGAAGACGGAGAUCCUUUAGCAAGAGGCCCGAGAACUGGACACAUGAAGGAGAUUCAGGCACAGGAGGAAAAAAAAAAGGAAGAAGCUCAGGAGAAGCAGGCUACCACCAGUAGCUGAAUGGGUGGAUCUCCGAAGAGGCCUGAGUCGCUUCAAUGGCUUUUCAGUACAGAUAAGUUACAGUUUUUUCUGCUCUGGCGCAUCCUCUGAAGGCUGAGAUGAAAGACAUGAUUCACUAGACUAAGACAUAUCCUGAAUCAAGAUGCCAGCCCCUCCUGCACCCCACGCUCCAGAGGCUGGUCUGCUGAAUGAUGGCUGUAUCUGCCCCGAGGACACUGUGAGCCCCACUCCCAGGGUGAGAGGAGAAUGAUGGCAAAAGAAUUUGGUAUAUCCUUGCUCCCACCUUCCUGUUCUUGAAAGCACAGGACAUCUGUGGGAGAAAUAUCUCUGGAAGCCUUGAUGGAGAGUACCAACCAGUCUUCAUGUGAAGACACUCUGCGUUCCUCAGCACUUACCCGUGAUCUGCAUCCUUGACUAAUCAUCUCCUUGCGGAGAUGCCAGUGGAAGUGAUUGAGACAAAGGGGCGUAGCAUCAUCUUGAUGCUGAAGAGCUUUCAGAGGAGUAUCUCCAGGAAGUGGCAGGUGGCACCACUCAGGAGAUGACUUUGAUGGCCCCACGUCCUCUCUGUUUCAUUACCCAGGCAGGAGGAGGGACAGGAUAUAUUAUGGAGCUAAAUUCUCACGGGCAAAUAAUAAGUCCUAGCACCUGCUGGCUGGAACCCACAGGCUGUGACCUUCUGUCUCCACCAAUGUUUGUAUUUUCCUCUGCGGGAAAGAGCAACAUGGUAAAGAAUUCCUAUUAUUUCAAAUAUUUCACCAUGGUGUUAUCUAGCCUAGUCUAAACAAUGGUCCCGAUUGCUCUUGAGAGUUGUACUCUGCAGGAGAAAACGGUAACAAAUGUUAUUCCCAGUGUGUUCCCCCCCACCACGGGGACACAGAUAUUUGUGACAUGGAAUGGCAGUGUGCUCCUGGAAGCAUCAAUCCAGAUACAUGUUAGCUGAAAAAAGAGGAAAAAAUUGCCUCCCUUGCCAAAUUCCAAACUGAUCCACCCAGAAGAAGAUCCAUGCUGUGAUGCUUCUGUCCUGGACGUGCCAUUUGUUAAUGCAGGAAGUGGAUCACAUCCCAGGCUCUGGGAAUGUGCAGAAUGUGUCACUUGCCCCAUUGCCUUACAAACGAUAAAUCUCUAAAACCUCACUAAAAGCUGUAAUACUGCAAAAGCUGCAGCCAUGGCAAUUAUUUGCCUUCAUGUUCACUGACCCACUGAAGGAACCAGGCUGUGAACACCCUGACUCUAGUGGGAAAUGCCUGGACAGCCAGACCUGACCCAAAUGUCCAAACACAGCCAAACUUCAGCCUGAAUACACAUAACACAGUUAAUCCCGACUUAAUUUAUGGCAGCCUGAACCUGAAUGUGAACUCACCCACUGUGUUACCAGAGAUCCGAACCUGGAUUUGGCUCCCAAAUAGCUUGGGUCUAGGUCUUGAAAUUACCCAGUUGUUGGCUGCAGUCUGCUUUGGAGCUGGAGAUUUAUUUCUCCAGGAGGCAGGAAAACACAUUGUGUUGCCAAACUACUUCCAGUCUUUUCCAGAAUUACAAGUCAGGGGAUGGUGGGUAAGUCUUGUGAUUUUCAUCCUACAAUCUAAACCAGAUGGACUACUCUCGCAGCAUAAAUAUUUAAGCAAAGAAAAGCAAAAAAAAAAAAAAAAAAAAAAAAGUUCAGUUUCUUAAUUAAUUGCAUUAUUAUGACUUGCACUAUUUAACAGAAUGCGCAUAAAGCUGGUUUACAAGAUAGCUUGAUCACCUUCUUUGAUUCAUCUCAAUAAAAUCUGGAGUUUUUGUUUUCUCGGGGAUAAUGAAGUAACUGUAGAAUAAUAAAGUGGCUCUGCUUAUUGGAAACAGAAAGCUCUCAGCUUUCGGAAGAAAAGAUCCUCUCGGUGAAGCUCGUGCUGUAUUAAUCCAAAAAUACAAAUAAGUGGAGGUGAUCUGGAAAGCCCGUGUUACGAACAUCAGCCCAGCAUUUCUGCCACUGAAGAUCCUCUUCUCCGGCCUCAACUCAAAAAAUCUUUGUGGCAGAUUUGGCAUUGCCUGUAAUAAUUUAUGAACGUGAUGUGUUGACAUGUUUACUGUGUGCAUACAUUGAGCUACUUCAAUCGCUGCCUUGUCAGGAAGUGUACCCAGGAGAGAACAGAUGAAUCCAGGCACGCGGUUUGGAGGAAACACUGGGGAGCUGAAGCAAGCGCCCUUUGCUGUGACAUUUUGGCUGGGCCCCUGCUGGGCUCACAGGAGAGAUUUCCCUGGGAGAACAUGGGUGCCUGUGAAGGAAGGCACAGAAGGCCCUGGGGGAUUCACAGUGAACCAUUUAAAUGGAGGCUUUGGAGAGUGAGAACCCGAAAGGGGCUGAAAGCGCUCAGAUCUGCAGGUACCUAAUUCAGUACAUGUUGGCGAUAAAGGGGAUGUGGAACAUUUGUUUAACCGCCGUGCCUUAUUUCAGUGGUGAAAUGGCUCUUCUGUUUUAUAAACAUGGUUUAGGUUGCACAAGAGAGCUGGAUGCCUCUGUUCCCAGGUCCAUUUGGGAAUCAUGGUGAUUGUGCUGGGUAGGCUGGCUGGAGUUUGGCAAAGCUACCUCAGCCUGCCUGCAGGAAGGUGAGAGCUUGAGGCCUGGCGGCCUUCCCCAGACGGGAAGGCAGAAAGGCCACUGAUAGCUGAGAUCCAGCAGUAACCAUAACAAUACCAUCAUCUUUCUUAAAAGUCCCAGCACGUAAUUCUACUAAUGACUUUUAUUAAACAUUUAAGCCUUAGCCUUCAAGUGAUUCAUAUUUGUUACAAAACACCAUCCCAUUAACACAAAGUACAAGCCGAAACAAAGUUAAUGAGCCCUAAUGCUUGCCGGAUAAUACGAAGUUUGAGUGAUACUAACAAAAAUAAAAUUAGGAAGAAAUCUACUUUCAUUGUCCACCAGAGAAUUUGAGUUUUAUCCUUCUGGUUCAUAAAAACAAGUCCAUUGCUCAAGUGGCUAUUACGCUCUUAUUAAAGUUGUUCCAGAACACAUAGAUGUGCGUAAUUAAGUGCCCCUCUGUUACAAGAGGGCCUGCCUGACAGUCUACAGGGAAUGCAAGGGGCCUUUAUUCAUGACAUCAAAGAGAAUGGCAUUACCCUCAUACUUCACUAUGUUGGCUGGGGUUGGUCCCACAUGGUGCAGUGCCCAGGACACAGCACUGUCAGCUGGAGCUGGGCUCUGGGGACCUGGAGGCAACAGGAGUGUGGCCUGAAAUGUACAUUAAUAUUUGUCUUAUGGAAAUCUUCAACAGAACUUAGCUCAGGCAUCCAAAGCACUGAGGAACUACAAAAAGUCAUUACAAAAUGUCAGGAAGUGUAGACUGAGAUAUUUUUAAUUGUCUGUUUUGGCAGUCGGAUACUAACGGCAAAUGGGGAAAUGGAGUAAAAAUCACUGAUAUCUCCCUACCCUUGAAAGUACGUGAUGUUGCUCAAAGCUCUGCCAGUUUUAUCUGUGUGUCCCAGUGAAGAGACUAAACACAAGAAACAGAAAGGGACAGCAGUAAAGCUGUAAAGUGCCAUUUUGGAAGGGAUGAGCAAGCACUGUAUAGUG